rnacentral:rRNA from 1 species
GACGAACGCUGGCGGCGUGCUUAACACAUGCAAGUCGAACGGAAAGGCCCUGCUUUUGUGGGGUGCUCGAGUGGCGAACGGGUGAGUAACACGUGAGUAACCUGCCCUUGACUUUGGGAUAACUUCAGGAAACUGGGGCUAAUACCGGAUAGGAGCUCCUGCUGCAUGGUGGGGGUUGGACCGUUUCGGCGGUUGGGGAUGGCCUCGCGGCUUAUCAGCUUGUUGGUGGGGUAGUGGCUUACCAAGGCUUUGACGGGUAGCCGGCCUGAGAGGGUGACCGGCCACAUUGGGACUGAGAUACGGCCCAGACUCCUACGGGAGGCAGCAGUGGUGAAUAUUGCACAAUGGGCGGAAGCCUGAUGCAGCAACGCCGCGUGCGGGAUGACGGCCUUCGGGUUGUAAACCGCUUUCGCCUGUGACGAAGCGUGAGUGAGGGUAAUGGGUAAAGAAGCACCGGCUAACUACGUG